rnacentral:rRNA from 1 species
UACGUAGGUGGCAAGCGUUGUCCGGAUUUAUUGGGUUUAAAGGGUGCGUAGGCGGCCCAUUAAGUCAGUGCUGAAAUAUCCCGGCUUAACCGGGAGGGUGGCAUUGAUACUGAUGGGCUUGAGUGGAGUCGAGGUAGGCGGAAUUGACGGUGUAGCGGUGAAAUGCUUAGAUAUCGUCAAGAACACCGAUAGUGUAGACAGCUUACUAGACUCAAGCUGACGCUGAGGCACGAAAGUGUGGGGAGCAAACAGG